UACAGCCACAUCAGGUUGAAAUUCCGGUUCCUGUACGAUCAGUGAAAUUAAGCAACGUUGAGCCUGGCCAGUAUCUCGAUGGGUGACCGCUUGGGAAUACCAGGUGCUGUCAG